rnacentral:rRNA from 1 species
AUUGAACGCUGGCGGAAUGCUUUACACAUGCAAGUCGAACGGCAGCACGGGGGCAACCCUGGUGGCGAGUGGCGAACGGGUGAGUAAUACAUCGGAACGUGCCCGGUCGUGGGGGAUAACGUAGCGAAAGUUACGCUAAUACCGCAUACGAUCUGAGGAUGAAAGCGGGGGACCUUCGGGCCUCGCGCGAUCGGAGCGGCCGAUGUCAGAUUAGGUAGUUGGUGGGGUAAAGGCCUACCAAGCCGACGAUCUGUAGCUGGUCUGAGAGGACGACCAGCCACACUGGGACUGAGACACGGCCCAGACUCCUACGGGAGGCAGCAGUGGGGAAUUGUGGACAAUGGGCGCAAGCCUGAUCCAGCCAUUCCGCGUGCAGGACGAAGGCCUUCGGGUUGUAAACUGCUUUUGUAUGGAACGAAAAGGCUCUGGCUAAUACCUGGGGCUCAUGACGGUACCGUAAGAAUAAGCACCGGCUAACUACGUG